UACGAAGGGGGCUAGCGUUGUUCGGAAUCACUGGGCGUAAAGGGCGCGUAGGCGGCUAGAUAAGUCAGGGGUGAAAUCCUGGAGCUCAACUCCAGAACUGCCUUUGAUACUGGCGACCUUGAGUCCGGGAGAGGUGAGUGGAACUGCGAGUGUAGAGGUGAAAUUCGUAGAUAUUCGCAAGAACACCAGUGGCGAAGGCGGCUCACUGGCCCGGUACUGACUCUGAGGUGCGAAAUCGUGGGGAGCAAACAGG
rnacentral:rRNA from 1 species